rnacentral:rRNA from 1 species
GCUCCGGCGCAGGCCGCGGGAUUAGAGUUUGAUCCUGGCUCAGGAUAAACGCUGGCGGCGUGCCUAACACAUGCAAGUCGAACGCGCUUUCGGGCUUCGGUGCGAGAGCGAGUGGCGGACGGGUGAGUAACACAUGGGUACCUGCCUUUCAGUGAGGGAUACCGGCGAGAAAUCGCCGACAAUACCGCAUGGGCUUGUGGGAACACAAGCAAAGUGGCGCAAGCCACGCUGGAAGAUGGGCCUGUGGCCGAUUAGCUAGUUGGGGGGGUAACGGCCUCCCAAGGCGACGAUCGGUAGCUGGUCUGAGAGGACGAUCAGCCACACUGGGAUUGAGAACGGCCCAGACUCCUACGGGGGGCAGCAGUGAGGAAUUUUCCGCAAUGGACGAAAGUCUGACGGAGCAACGCCGCGUGCAGGAGGAAGGUUUUCGGAUCGUAAACUGCUUUUCUCGGGGACGAGCAAGGACGGUACCCGAGGAAGAAGCCCCGGCUAACUACGUGCCAGCAGCCGCGGUAAUACGUAGGGGGCGAGCGUUGUCCGGAUUUAUUGGGCGUAAAGCGCACGCAGGCGGAGCGGUAAGAGUGGGGUGACAGUUGUCGGCUUAACCGACAGAGUGUCCCACAGACUGCCGCCCUUGAGGGUCACAGAGGAACACAGAAUUCCGGGUGGAGUGGUGAAAUGCGUAGAUAUCCGGAGGAAUACCAAAGGCGAAGGCAGUGUUCUGGGUGACACCUGACGCUCAGGUGCGAAAGCUAGGGGAGCGAACGGGAUUAGAUACCCCGGUAGUCCUAGCCGUAAACGAUGACCACUAGGUGUGCGGGGUAUCGACCCCCUGCGUGCCGUCGCAAACGCAAUAAGUGGUCCGCCUGGGGAGUACGGUCGCAAGAUUAAAACUCAAAGGAAUUGACGGGGACCCGCACAAGCA